rnacentral:rRNA from 1 species
UACGUAGGUGGCAAGCGUUGUCCGGAAUUAUUGGGCGUAAAGCGCGCGCAGGCGGUUCUUUAAGUCUGAUGUGAAGGCCCACGGCUCAACCGUGGAGGGUCAUUGGAAACUGGAGAACUUGAGUACAGAAGAGGAAAGCGGAAUUCCACGUGUAGCGGUGAAAUGCGUAGAGAUGUGGAGGAACACCAGUGGCGAAGGCGGCUUUCUGGUCUGUAACUGACGCUGAGGCGCGAAAGCGUGGGGAGCAAACAGG